rnacentral:rRNA from 1 species
GAUGAACGCUGGCGGCGUGCCUAAUACAUGCAAGUCGAGCGAACAGACGAGGAGCUUGCUCCUCUGACGUUAGCGGCGGACGGGUGAGUAACACGUGGAUAACCUACCUAUAAGACUGGGAUAACUUCGGGAAACCGGAGCUAAUACCGGAUAAUAUAUUGAACCGCAUGGUUCAAUAGUGAAAGACGGUUUUGCUGUCACUUAUAGAUGGAUCCGCGCCGCAUUAGCUAGUUGGUAAGGUAACGGCUUACCAAGGCAACGAUGCGUAGCCGACCUGAGAGCGUGAUCGGCCACACGGGAACUUAGACACGGUCCAUACUCCUACGGGAGGCAGCAGUAGGGAAUCUUCCGCAAUGGGCGAAAGCCUGACGGAGCAACGCCGCGUGAGUGAUGAAGGUCUUCGGAUCGUAAAACUCUGUUAUUAGGGAAGAACAAAUGUGUAAGUAACUAUGCACGUCUUGACGGUACCUAAUCAGAAAGCCACGGCUAACUACGUG